rnacentral:rRNA from 1 species
UACAGAGGGUGCGAGCGUUAAUCGGAAUCACUGGGCGUAAAGCGCACGUAGGCGGAUUGCUAAGUCAGGGGUGAAAUCCUGGAGCUCAACUCCAGAACUGCCUUUGAUACUGAGAAGCUUGAGUCCGGGAGAGGUGAGUGGAACUGCGAGUGUAGAGGUGAAAUUCGUAGAUAUUCGCAAGAACACCAGUGGCGAAGGCGGCUCACUGGCCCGGUACUGACGCUGAGGUGCGAAAGCGUGGGGAGCAAACAGG